rnacentral:rRNA from 1 species
UACGUAGGGGGCGAGCGUUGUCCGGAAUCAUUGGGCGUAGAGCGCGCGUAGGCGGCCCGGUAAGUCCGUUGUAAAAGUCAAAGGCUCAACCUUUGAAAGCCGAUGGAUACUGCCGGGCUAGAAUCCGGAAGAGGCGAGUGGAAUUCCUGGUGUAGCGGUGGAAUGCGCAGAUAUCAGGAGGAACACCAAUAGCGAAGGCAGCUCGCUGGGACGGUAUUGACGCUAAGGCGCGAAAGCGUGGGGAGCAAACAGG